UUGGAGGGCAAGUCUGGUGCCAGCAGCCGCGGUAAUUCCAGCUCCAAUAGCGUAUAUUAAAGUUGUUGCAGUUAAAAAGCUCGUAGUUGAAUUUCGGGGUUAGCAGGUUGGUCGUGCCACUGGUAUGAACUGGCCUUGCUGAUUCCUCCCUCUUGAUGAGCCGUAAUGCCAUUAAUUUGGUGUUGCGAGGAAUCAGGACUGUUACUUUGAAAAAAUUAGAGUGUUUAAAGCAGGCAAGCGCUUGAAUACAUUAGCAUGGAAUAAUGAAAUAGGACGUUUGAUCUUAUUUUGUUGGUUUCUAAGAUUGACGUAGUGAUUAAUAGGGAUAGUUGGGGGCAUUAGUAUUCAAUUGUCAGAGGUGAAAUUCUUGGAUUUAUUGAAGACUAACUACUGCGAAAGCAUUUGCCAAGGAUGUUUUCAUUAAUCAAGAACGAAAGUUAGGGGAUCGAAGACGAUCAGAUACCGUCGUAGUCUUAACCAUAAACUAUGCCGACUAGGGAUCGGAUGAUGUUAAUUUUUUAAUGACUCAUUCGGCACCUUACGGGAAAC
rnacentral:rRNA from 1 species